ACGCUAGCUAUAGGCUUAACACAUGCAAGUCGAGGGGAAACGGCAUUAUGUGCUUGCACAUUUUGGACGUCGACCGGCGCACGGGUGAGUAUCGCGUAUCCAACCUUCCCUCCACUCGGGGAUACCCCGUUGAAAGACGGCCUAAUACCCGAUGUUGUCCACAUAUGGCAUCUGACGUGGACCAAAGAUUCAUCGGUGGAGGAUGGGGAUGCGUCUGAUUAGCUUGUUGGUGCGGGUAACGGCCCACCAAGGCUACGAUCAGUAGGGGUUCUGAGAGGAAGGUCCCCCACAUUGGAACUGAGACACGGUCCAAACUCCUACGGGAGGCAGCAGUGAGGAAUAUUGGUCAAUGGACGUAAGUCUGAACCAGCCAAGUAGCGUGCAGGAUUGACGGCCCUAUGGGUUGUAAACUGCUUUUGUUGGGGAGUAAAGUGAGGCACGCGUGCCUUUUUGCAUUUACCCUUCGAAUAAGGACCGGCUAAUUCCGUGCCAGCAGCCGCGGUAAUACGGAAGGUCCAGGCGUUAUCCGGAUUUAUUGGGUUUAAAGGGAGUGUAGGCGGUCUGUUAAGCGUGUUGUGAAAUUUAGGUGCUCAACAUCUACCUUGCAGCGCGAACUGGCGGACUUGAGUGCACGCAACGUAUGCGGAAUUCAUGGUGUAGCGGUGAAAUGCUUAGAUAUCAUGACGAACUCCGAUUGCGAAGGCAGCGUACGGGAGUGUUACUGACGCUUAAGCUCGAAGGUGCGGGUAUCGAACAGGAUUGGAUACCCUGGUAGUCCGCACGGUAAACGAUGGAUGCCCGCUGUUAGCGCCUGGCGUUAGCGGCUAAGCGAAAGCAUUAAGCAUCCCACCUGGGGAGUACGCCGGCAACGGUGAAACUCAAAGGAAUUGACGGGGGCCCGCACAAGC
rnacentral:rRNA from 1 species